GAAUGAAGUAAAUAAUUACACUUAGUUUCGACCUAAACCCUUGAUUUUAAACAUCCAUUCUUU
rnacentral:tRNA from 1 species